AUCCAGCUGACGAGUUUCAAAUAGAACAAAACGCACAUCCUGGAU
rnacentral:hammerhead_ribozyme from 1 species